UUAAGUUAUUAAGGGCGCACGGUGGAUGCCUUGGCACUAGAAGCCGAUGAAGGACGUUACUAACGACGAUAUGCUUUGGGGAGCUGUAAGUAAGCUUUGAUCCAGAGAUUUCCGAAUGGGGAAACCCAGCAUGAGUUAUGUCAUGUUAUCGAUAUGUGAAUACAUAGCAUAUCAGAAGGCACACCCGGAGAACUGAAACAUCUUAGUACCCGGAGGAAGAGAAAGAAAAUUCGAUUCCCUUAGUAGCGGCGAGCGAAACGGGAAGAGCCCAAACCAACAAGCUUGCUUGUUGGGGUUGUAGGACACUCUAUACGGAGUUACAAAGGACGACAUUAGACGAAUCAUCUGGAAAGAUGAAUCAAAGAAGGUAAUAAUCCUGUAGUCGAAAAUGUUGUCUCUCUUGAGUGGAUCCUGAGUACGACGGAGCACGUGAAAUUCCGUCGGAAUCUGGGAGGACCAUCUCCUAAGGCUAAAUACUCUCUAGUGACCGAUAGUGAACCAGUACCGUGAGGGAAAGGUGAAAAGCACCCCGGAAGGGGAGUGAAAUUAGAACCUGAAACCGUGUGCUUACAAGUAGUCAGAGCCCGUUAAUGGGUGAUGGCGUGCCUUUUGUAGAAUGAACCGGCGAGUUACGAUUUGAUGCAAGGUUAAGCAGUAAAUGUGGAGCCGUAGCGAAAGCGAGUCUGAAUAGGGCGUUUAGUAUUUGGUCGUAGACCCGAAACCAGGUGAUCUACCCUUGGUCAGGUUGAAGUUCAGGUAACACUGAAUGGAGGACCGAACCGACUUACGUUGAAAAGUGAGCGGAUGAACUGAGGGUAGCGGAGAAAUUCCAAUCGAACCUGGAGAUAGCUGGUUCUCUCCGAAAUAGCUUUAGGGCUAGCCUCAAGUGAUGAUUAUUGGAGGUAGAGCACUGUUUGGACGAGGGGCCCCUCUCGGGUUACCGAAUUCAGACAAACUCCGAAUGCCAAUUAAUUUAACUUGGGAGUCAGAACAUGGGUGAUAAGGUCCGUGUUCGAAAGGGAAACAGCCCAGACCACCAGCUAAGGUCCCAAAAUAUAUGUUAAGUGGAAAAGGAUGUGGCGUUGCCCAGACAACUAGGAUGUUGGCUUAGAAGCAGCCAUCAUUUAAAGAGUGCGUAAUAGCUCACUAGUCGAGUGACACUGCGCCGAAAAUGUACCGGGGCUAAACAUAUUACCGAAGCUGUGGAUUGUCCUUUGGACAAUGGUAGGAGAGCGUUCUAAGGGCGUUGAAGCAUGAUCGUAAGGACAUGUGGAGCGCUUAGAAGUGAGAAUGCCGGUGUGAGUAGCGAAAGACGGGUGAGAAUCCCGUCCACCGAUUGACUAAGGUUUCCAGAGGAAGGCUCGUCCGCUCUGGGUUAGUCGGGUCCUAAGCUGAGGCCGACAGGCGUAGGCGAUGGAUAACAGGUUGAUAUUCCUGUACCACCUAUAAUCGUUUUAAUCGAUGGGGGGACGCAGUAGGAUAGGCGAAGCGUGCGAUUGGAUUGCACGUCUAAGCAGUAAGGCUGAGUAUUAGGCAAAUCCGGUACUCAUUAAGGCUGAGCUGUGAUGGGGAGAAGACAUUGUGUCUUCGAGUCGUUGAUUUCACACUGCCGAGAAAAGCCUCUAGAUAGAAAAUAGGUGCCCGUACCGCAAACCGACACAGGUAGUCAAGAUGAGAAUUCUAAGGUGAGCGAGCGAACUCUCGUUAAGGAACUCGGCAAAAUGACCCCGUAACUUCGGGAGAAGGGGUGCUCUUUAGGGUUAACGCCCAGAAGAGCCGCAGUGAAUAGGCCCAAGCGACUGUUUAUCAAAAACACAGGUCUCUGCUAAACCGUAAGGUGAUGUAUAGGGGCUGACGCCUGCCCGGUGCUGGAAGGUUAAGAGGAGUGGUUAGCUUCUGCGAAGCUACGAAUCGAAGCCCCAGUAAACGGCGGCCGUAACUAUAACGGUCCUAAGGUAGCGAAAUUCCUUGUCGGGUAAGUUCCGACCCGCACGAAAGGCGUAACGAUUUGGGCACUGUCUCAACGAGAGACUCGGUGAAAUCAUAGUACCUGUGAAGAUGCAGGUUACCCGCGACAGGACGGAAAGACCCCGUGGAGCUUUACUGUAGCCUGAUAUUGAAAUUCGGCACAGCUUGUACAGGAUAGGUAGGAGCCUUUGAAACGUGAGCGCUAGCUUACGUGGAGGCGCUGGUGGGAUACUACCCUAGCUGUGUUGGCUUUCUAACCCGCACCACUUAUCGUGGUGGGAGACAGUGUCAGGCGGGCAGUUUGACUGGGGCGGUCGCCUCCUAAAAGGUAACGGAGGCGCUCAAAGGUUCCCUCAGAAUGGUUGGAAAUCAUUCAUAGAGUGUAAAGGCAUAAGGGAGCUUGACUGCGAGACCUACAAGUCGAGCAGGGUCGAAAGACGGACUUAGUGAUCCGGUGGUUCCGCAUGGAAGGGCCAUCGCUCAACGGAUAAAAGCUACCCCGGGGAUAACAGGCUUAUCUCCCCCAAGAGUUCACAUCGACGGGGAGGUUUGGCACCUCGAUGUCGGCUCAUCGCAUCCUGGGGCUGUAGUCGGUCCCAAGGGUUGGGCUGUUCGCCCAUUAAAGCGGUACGCGAGCUGGGUUCAGAACGUCGUGAGACAGUUCGGUCCCUAUCCGUCGUGGGCGUAGGAAAUUUGAGAGGAGCUGUCCUUAGUACGAGAGGACCGGGAUGGACAUACCUCUGGUGUACCAGUUGUCGUGCCAACGGCAUAGCUGGGUAGCUAUGUGUGGACGGGAUAAGUGCUGAAAGCAUCUAAGCAUGAAGCCCCCCUCAAGAUGAGAUUUCCCAACUUCGGUUAUAAGAUCCCUCAAAGAUGAUGAGGUUAAUAGGUUCGAGGUGGAAGCAUGGUGACAUGUGGAGCUGACGAAUACUAAUCGAUCGAAGACUUAAUCAA
rnacentral:rRNA from 1 species